AUGGAGGCGGCCCCAACGCCGGCGGCAGCGGAGACGCAGCACCGCCACGGCGGAUGCUUGUCUGCCAGGACGUUCAUGCCGCCCGGGCCGGUGGCGCGAUGCUCCGGUGGCUCCUCUCAGGCAGCCGGAUCUCCCGAUGAGGCGUCAUGUGGAUCACCAAGAUGGAUAGGGAAAAGUCUCUCUUGUGUAUGCAUCAAAAGGAAAGGGGCAUAUGAGCGAAUAUGCAUGAACCUUACACCGGUGCAGGAACAGAGGCUUCAGAGGUUGAGGCACCGCAUGAAGGUUUAUUUUGAUCACUCAAGGCGAGAUCAUCAGGAAGCCUUGAGAGCUCUUUGGUAUGCAACAUACCCUGAUCAAGAACUUGAAGGUUUGGUCUCUGAACAGUGGAAGGACAUGGGCUGGCAAGGAAGAGAUCCAUCAACUGACUUCAGAGGCGCAGGAUUCAUAUCUCUAGAGAAUCUUCUAUUCUUUGCAAAGACAUUCUCUGCAUCAUUUCAGAGGCUACUACAGAAACAAAGCGGCAAUCAAGCCACUUGGGAGUACCCGUUUGCAGUUGCUGGUGUAAAUAUCACAUUCAUGAUCAUGCAGAUGUUGGAUCUCCAGUCCAUGAAAUCAAUUGCAGCUAAACCGAGAACGUUCGUCAAAGCUGUUUUUGUCCAAAUGCUUUCAGAGGAUGAAUGGGCAUUUGAUCUGCUCUACUGUGUUGCUUUCCUUGUGAUGGACAAGCAGUGGGUAGAGAAGAACGCUUCUUACAUGGACUUCAAUGAGAUACUGAAGUCAACUCGAGCGCAGCUGCAGAAGGAGCUUCUGCUGGAGGAUGUGAUGAGGAUUGAAGAUAUGCCAUCAUACAGACUGCUUUGCUAG
rnacentral:rRNA from 1 species